UUGUCCCGAGCCCCUGAUUCCUUCCGGUGACUCUGAUGGUCGCGCUGUGUGAAGCCGGCUUGAGUUUUGAGAGGUCGCGGUAAGGAAUCAAAAAAGUUGAAGCCACAGAUUUUUGCCAGAAAAUUGCGGUGUAAAAGCGACAUCAAAAAGAAACCAUUGUAUUUCGUCUUAAUUAUACGAACGCAAAUACACCUGAAGAAUACUCACGCAUCAGUCAGCGGGUUUUAACAGUCAGCGCAAUGAGAAAUAAAACUGAUCAGCAUCAUUUAUAAUAUGGUCUCCCCCUGUGUCAGAGGUACAGUACUCCAGUUAUAUAAAAAUACAUUCAAUAAAUUAACUUUGAAAAGCCGAAUUGACCCAGUGGUUCAAACAGGUUAACCGAAGAUUGGCGGGUUUAAACACCACUGAAUUGUCAUAUGCUAAUUUGUG